rnacentral:rRNA from 1 species
AAUAGAUACCCUGGUAGUCCACGCCGUAAACGAUGAGUGCUAAGUGUUAGGGGUUUCCGCCCCUUAGUGCUGCAGCUAACGCAUUAAGCACUCCGCCUGGGGAGUACGGUCGCAAGACUGAAACUCAAAGGAAUUGACGGGGGCCCGCACAAGCGGUGGAGCAUGUGGUUUAAUUCGAAGCAACGCGAAGAACCUUACCAGGUCUUGACAUCCCAUUGACCACUAUGGAGACAUAGUUUUCCCUUCGGGGACAACGGUGACAGGUGGUGCAUGGUUGUCGUCAGCUCGUGUCGUGAGAUGUUGGGUUAAGUCCCGCAACGAGCGCAACCCUUGUUCUUAGUUGCCAUCAUUUAGUUGGGCACUCUAAGGAGACUGCCGGUGACAAACCGGAGGAAGGUGGGGAUGACGUCAAAUCAUCAUGCCCCUUAUGACCUGGGCUACACACGUGCUACAAUGGACGGUACAAACGGUUGCCAACCCGCGAGGGGGAGCUAAUCCGAUAAAACCGUUCUCAGUUCGGAUUGUAGGCUGCAACUCGCCUACA